GCAAGUCGAGGGGUAUCAGGAAAAAGCUUGCUUUUUUGCUGACGACCGGCGCACGGGUGCGUAACGCGUAUACAAUCUACCUUUUGCUGAGGGAUAGCCCAGAGAAAUUUGGAUUAAUACCUCAUAGUAUAUUGACCUCUCAUGGGGAUAAUAUUAAAGGUUACGGCAAAAGAUGAGUAUGCGUCCUAUUAGUUAGUUGGUGUGGUAACGGCACACCAAGACAGCGAUAGGUAGGGGCCCUGAGAGGGGGAUC
rnacentral:rRNA from 1 species